rnacentral:miRNA from 14 species
CAGAAUCUAUACUAGUACAAAAA